GCAUCUGUGCAUGCAGCAUAUCAAUAAGCGGAGGAAAAGAAACUAACAAGGAUUCCCCUAGUAACGGCGAGUGAAGCGGGAAGAGCUCAAAUUUGAAAUCUUAAAGGGUUUCCCUUUACGAAUUGUAGUUUAAAGAAGUGUUUUCUGUUGAGGUUUUGGUAAAAGUUCUUUGGAAUAGGACAUCAUAGAGGGUGAGAAUCCCGUAUUUGACCUUUACUUUCAACUUUGUGAUACACUUUCAAAGAGUCGGAUUGUUUGGGAAUGCAGUCCAAAAUGGGUGGUAAAUUUUCAUCUAAAGCUAAAUAUUGGCGAGAGACCGAUAGCGAACAAGUACCGUGAGGGAAAGAUGAAAAGAACUUUGAAAAGAGAGUUAAACAGUACGUGAAAUUGUCAAAAGGGAAGCGUUUGACACCAGUGUUGUUUUUCUGAAAAUCAAUUAAAGAACUGUUUAUGCUAAGCUGUUUAGACUACAUCAGCUAUCUGUUUAGUUUUGAGCUUUUCUUUAAUGCACUUUUCAGUUAACAAGUCAACAUCAAUUUCUUUUGCUGUAAAAAAGCUUGAGGAAGGUGGCUUGAGAUUCGUCUUAAGUGUUUAUAGCCUCUUGCCUAUGCAGUCGGAGAGAUUGAGGUCUGCAGCGUAGAUCCUUCGGGGCUAAAUGCAUUUGUGCUAAGUUAUAACAUUUUAUAGACAACUUGUUGACUAUGAUUUGUCUUGUAGCUUACUCGCUUAUGUUAUUUUACCUACGCUUAGGAUGUUGACAGCAGUAUAGACUGU
rnacentral:rRNA from 1 species